rnacentral:rRNA from 1 species
GUGAGGAAUAUUGGUCAAUGGCCGGGAGGCUGAACCAGCCAAGUCGCGUGAGGGAUGACGGUCCUAUGGAUUGUAAACCUCUUUUGUCGGGGAGCAAAGGACGCCACGUGUGGUGUUUUGCGAGUACCCGAAGAAAAAGCAUCGGCUAACUCCGUGCCAGCAGCCGCGGUAAUACGGAGGAUGCGAGCGUUAUCCGGAUUUAUUGGGUUUAAAGGGUGCGCAGGCGGAAUGUCAAGUCAGCGGUAAAAUUUCGGGGCUCAACCCCGUCGUGCCGUUGAAACUGGCGUUCUUGAGUGAGCGAGAAGUAUGCGGAAUGCGUGGUGUAGCGGUGAAAUGCAUAGAUAUCACGCAGAACUCCGAUUGCGAAGGCAGCAUACCGGCGCUCAACUGACGCUCAUGCACGAAAGCGUGGGUAUCGAACAGGA